UCGUAGUUUAAUAGUCAGAACGUUAGUACGUAAAGCCAAAGGUUCCGGGUUCGAUUCCCGACGA
rnacentral:tRNA from 1 species